UACGAAGGGAGCUAGCGUUGCUCGGAAUCACUGGGCGUAAAGGGUGCGUAGGCGGGUCUUUAAGUCAGGGGUGAAAUCCUGGAGCUCAACUCCAGAACUGCCUUUGAUACUGAAGAUCUUGAGUUCGGGAGAGGUGGGUGGAACCGCGAGUGUAGAGGUGAAAUUCGUAGAUAUUCGCAAGAACACCAGUGGCGAAGGCGGCUCACUGGCCCGAUACUGACGCUGAGGCACGAAAGCGUGGGGAGCAAACAGG
rnacentral:rRNA from 1 species